AGUCCUUCGGGGACGAUAAAAUUGGAACGAUGCAGAAUAGAUUAGCAUGCCCCUGCACAAGGAUGACACGCACAAAUCGAGAAAUGGUCUAAAUUUUU